rnacentral:rRNA from 1 species
AUUGAACGCUGGCGGCAGGCCUAACACAUGCAAGUCGAACGGUAACAGGAAGCAGCUUGCUGCUUUGCUGACGAGUGGCGGACGGGUGAGUAAUGUCUGGGAAACUGCCUGAUGGAGGGGGAUAACUACUGGAAACGGUAGCUAAUACCGCAUAACGUCGCAAGACCAAAGAGGGGGACCUUAGGGCCUCUUGCCAUCGGAUGUGCCCAGAUGGGAUUAGCUAGUAGGUGGGGUAACGGCUCACCUAGGCGACGAUCCCUAGCUGGUCUGAGAGGAUGACCAGCCACACUGGAGCUGAGACACGGUCCAGACUCCUACGGGAGGCAGCAGUGGGGAAUAUUGCACAAUGGGCGCAAGCCUGAUGCAGCCAUGCCGCGUGUAUGAAGAAGGCCUUCGGGUUGUAAAGUACUUUCAGCGGGGAGGAAGGGAGUAAAGUUAAUACCUUUGCUCAUUGACGUUACCCGCAGAAGAAGCACCGGCUAACUCCGUG